rnacentral:rRNA from 1 species
AGCAGAUGACUGGGAAUAAAGCGUGCGCAGGCGGUUCGGAAAGAAAGAUGUGAAAUCCCAGAGCUUAACUUUGGAACUGCAUUUUUAACUACCGGGCUAGAGUGUGUCAGAGGGAGGUGGAAUUCCGCGUGUAGCAGUGAAAUGCGUAGAUAUGCGGAGGAACACCGAUGGCGAAGGCAGCCUCCUGGGAUAACACUGACGCUCAUGCACGAAAGCGUGGGGAGCAAACAGGAUUAGAUACCCUGGUAGUCCACGCCCUAAACGAUGUCAACUAGCUGUUGGGGCCUUCGGGCCUUAGUAGCGCAGCUAACGCGUGAAGUUGACCGCCUGGGGAGUACGGUCGCAAGAUUAAAACUUAAAAAAUUGACG